GAUAUCUCAGUGAUAAGGGUUUAGCUGUUAUGUGGCCAAUGGUGUGGUACCUCAUUUUCAACAUCAUCCAUAUAGAGAAGACUCUGCAUAUCUGCACAUUGACAACUGUGUUUGGUGGAAUAAAAACAAUGCAGUCAUUGGGGUCUGAUGUAUUCUGAAGGGAGAGACACAGCAUUUACUUAAAUGGAAGCAGGUGACAUAAAGUUCAGUCCUGUGUGAGAUUUGGUCUGUGAAAGACCAAAUGGAGGCAGCACACAUCCUUUGUGGAUUGAUGACCUUGGCAAACUGGUUAUAUUCUUUGACUGGUUGGAGUACACCAAGUGACCCCUGAAGUCCAUUCCAAACUAUCAUCACUUCAGAACUUCAGCUAACAACCCAGUGAGUGAAUUCAUGAGAGAGCAUGCCAAGGACAGUGAGAUUGAAGUUAAAACUGACAAGCCCACAACAAUGGCUUUUCCAUGGAGAGUACCAUGAACGCAUCCAACUAAAAGGACUUAAUGCAAAAAGGCUCUAAUCCUUUAAAUAAGUGAAAACACGAAUAUACUGAUAUGUGAUCUUUAUAAACUAAAUAUAAGAUUUGAGAAUGAGCCCAUUACUGAGCUGAUGAACAUGUACAUCAAUUUUUUAUUGACAAUUAUUAAUUCAAUAAAAAACAUGUUCAUGUGAAAUGAAGCUACCAGUGAUUUUGAGUGAAAAACUGUGGUUUUAGCAAAUGAUUGAUAGAAGG